UGGGGAAUCUUGCGCAAUGGGGGAAACCCUGACGCAGCAACGCCGCGUGAGUGACGAAGGCCUUCGGGUCGUAAAGCUCUGUCAGAUGGAAAGAAUUAGUUCGCUGAAAAUAUUGGCGAGUGAUGACGGUACCAUCAGAGGAAGCACCGGCUAACUCCGUGCCAGCAGCCGCGGUAAUACGGAGGGUGCAAGCGUUGUUCGGAAUUAUUGGGCGUAAAGCGCGUGUAGGCGGGAAGGCAGGUCAGUUGUGAAAUCCCUUGGCCUAACCAAGGAACUGCAUCUGAAACCAUUUUCCUCGAGUACGAUAGGGGAGGGCGGAAUUCCCAGUGUAGAGGUGAAAUUCAUAGAUAUUGGGAGGAACACCAGUGGCGAAGGCGACCCUCUGGAUCGAUACUGACGCUGAGACGCGAAAGCGUGGGUAGCAAACAGGAUUAGAUACCCUGGUAGUCCACGCUGUAAACGAUGUGCACUAGGUGUUGGAGGUACUUAAUCCUCCAGUGCCGCAGCUAACGCAUUAAGUGCACCGCCUGGGGAAUACGGCCGCAAGGUUA
rnacentral:rRNA from 1 species